rnacentral:rRNA from 1 species
GACGAACGCUGGCGGCGUGCUUAACACAUGCAAGUCGAACGAGUGGCGAACGGGUGAGUAAUACGUGGGUAACCUGCCCUCUUUUUGGGAUACGCCUUGGAACCGGGGUCUAAUACCGAAUAGCGGGUGAUGGGCUCGCGGCCUCUCAGCUUGUUGGUGGGGUGAUGGCCUACCAAGGCGGUGCCGGGUAGCCGGGCUGCGAAGGUGAACGGGAACAUGGAGACGGAGAUACGGCCCAGAAGCGGACGGGGGGGAGAAGUGGGGAAUAUUGCAGAAUGGGCGAAAGCCUGAUGCAGCGACGACGCGUAGGGGAUGAAGGGUGUCGGGUUGUAAACGUCUGUCGCUAGCGAACGGGUAGGUGGAGAAGAAGCGCCGGCUAACUACGUGCCAGCCGCCGCGGUAAUUC